UCAGGAUGAACGCUGGCGGCGUGCCUAACACAGUGCAAGUCGAACGGGGUUACUGGCAGCGGAGAUUCGGUCAAAGCAGCCUUUAACCAGUGGCGGACGGGUGAGUAACGCGUGGGGAACCUGCCCUGUACUGGGGGAUAACAGUGAGAAAUCACUGCUAAUACCGCAUAAGCGCACAGCAUCGCAUGAUGCAGUGUGAAAAACUGAGGUGGUACAGGAUGGCUCCGCGUUGGAUUAGCCAGUUGCGGGGUAACGGCCCACCAAAGCGACGAUCCAUAGCCGGCCUGAGAGGGUGAACGGCCACAUUGGGACUGAGACACGGCCCAGACUCCUACGGGAGGCAGCAGUGGGGAAUAUUGCACAAUGGGGGAAACCCUGAUGCAGCGACGCCGCGUGAAGGAAGAAGUAUCUCGGUAUGUAAACUUCUAUCAACAGGGAAGAUGAUGACGGUACCUGACUAAGAAGCCCCGGCUAACUACGUGCCAGCCGCCGC
rnacentral:rRNA from 1 species